AUUAAAAAAAAAAAAAAAAAAAAAAACAGCAGAACGUGAAAAAUGGAGGCUCUGGUGUGUGUGAAAUUGGGGGAUCCAGUGGGGAAAAUGGACGAGAAUUCCCCAAUAGUAUUGAGCAAAAACCACCCAAUUCCACAACUGGACUCCCCCACCGCAGUUAGAGUGAGAGUGAAAGCCACAAGCUUGAACUAUGCCAAUUACCUCCAGAUUUUGGGCAAAUACCAAGAAAAGCCUCCCCUGCCUUUCGUCCCUGGCUCCGAUUACUCCGGUAUUGUCGAUGCCGUCGGUCCUAAUGUCUCCAUUUUCAAGGUUGGGGACCGUGUCUGUUCCUUCGCUUCCCUCGGCUCCUUCGCUCAAUUCAUCGUCGCGGAUCAAUCCCAACUGUUUCGAGUGCCAGAGGGAUGUGAUCUGGUGGAGGCCGCUGCACUGCCCGUCGCUUUUGGAACCUCCCAUGUCGCUCUUGUCCACAGAGCUCACUUGACCUCUUCUCAGGUGUUGCUGGUUCUUGGAGCCGCUGGAGGUGUUGGCCUUUCUGCUGUACAAAUUGGCAAGGUUUGUGGUGCCAUUGUUAUUGCCGUUGCUAGGGGAGAUGAAAAGGUAGAGUUUUUGAAGUCAUUGGGAAUAGAUCAUGUGGUGGACUCUAGCAAAGAAAACGUUACUGUGAGUGUCAAGGACUUCCUCAACGCAAGAAAACUUAAAGGUGUAGAUGUUUUGUAUGAUCCUGUUGGAGGCAAGUCCACUAAAGAAGCCUUGAAACUUCUGAAUUGGGGUGCUCAAAUUCUGGUCAUUGGGUUUGCUAGUGGGGAAAUACCUGUCAUCCCAGCAAAUAUUGCUCUGGUUAAGAACUGGACCAUACAUGGACUUUAUUGGGGUAGCCACAGAACACAUCGUCCAGGUUUUCUGGAAGAUUCUUUCGGGGAGCUACUCUCUUGGAUGGAAAAGGGCCUGAUUACUAUCCACAUUUCUCAUAUUUACAGCAUGUCAGAGGCAAGCCUCGCCUUUUGUGCUAUUAGAGAUCGGAAAGCUAUUGGAAAGGUGAUGAUUGCUUUUGAUGAUAAAACAAGUCCAACAUCUAAGCUUUGAUUUAGUCAGGCUUGAGCAGGAAUAGAAUGCAGAAUGUAAUCCUUGGCUCUUGAAUAUCAGAAUCUUGUCCUUACAAUCCUUAACCACUACAUAAUGUCAUAAUUUGUAGAUUCUAUGAUCAGAUUCUGAUAUUCAAGAGCCAAGGAUUA
rnacentral:misc_RNA from 1 species